GUUCAGUCCCCUCGCGACGAAAAGCUGUGAACCCCGUCAGGCCCGGAAGGGAGCAGCGGCAGCAGUGGCUUCGGGCGCCGGGGUGUGGCGGAUCGGG
rnacentral:SRP_RNA from 1 species